GGAAAUGCUGGCAACGCACUCGAUACUGGAGAUGUGAAUAGCCGCUAAGAAUAUGAAAUUCUCAACCCCAGAGCGGGAUAAUGAUACUGGUACUGGUAAUUGUGCUGAUGUUUACGCGAGUGGUUGGUGGUUUAGAUAUUGUUAUUCAUGUAACCCUAAUGGAGUUUAUAAGAACACUUACACUGAUGAAGCAUAUUAUCAGUCAAUCAGAUGGAACACA